GACGAACGCUGGCGGCGUGCCUAAUACAUGCAAGUCGAACGCACUCUCGUUUAGAUUGAAGGAGUUUGCUCCUGAUUGAUAAACAUUUGAGUGAGUGGCGGACGGGUGAGUAACACGUGGGUAACCUGCCCUAAAGUGGGGGAUAACAUUUGGAAACAGAUGCUAAUACCGCAUAAAACCUAACACCGCAUGGUGUAGGGUUGAAAGAUGGUUUCGGCUAUCACUUUAGGAUGGACCCGCGGUGCAUUAGUUAGUUGGUGAGGUAAAGGCUCACCAAGACCGUGAUGCAUAGCCGACCUGAGAGGGUAAUCGGACACACUGGGACUGAGACACGGCCCAGACUCCUACGGGAGGCAGCAGUAGGGAAUCUUCCACAAUGGACGAAAGUCUGAUGGAGCAACGCCGCGUGAGUGAAGAAGGUUUUCGGAUCGUAAAACUCUGUUGUUGGAGAAGAAUGUAUCUGAUAGUAACUGAUCAGGUAGUGACGGUAUCCAACCAGAAAGCCACGGCUAACUACGUG
rnacentral:rRNA from 1 species